rnacentral:tRNA from 1 species
GUGGGUAUAGCUCAGUGGUAGAGAGCAUGCUUAGGAGUCCUAGGUUCAAUCCCUGGUACCUCCA